rnacentral:rRNA from 1 species
UACGUAGGGGGCAAGCGUUGUCCGGAUUUAUUGGGCGUAAAGAGCGUGUAGGCGGCUUUGCAGGUCCGCUGUGAAAACUCGAGGCUCAACCUCGAGCUGUCGGUGGAAACCGUGAAGCUAGAGUCCGGAAGAGGAGAGUGGAAUUCCCGGUGUAGCGGUGAAAUGCGCAGAUAUCGGGAAGAACACCCGUGGCGAAGGCGGCUCUCUGGGACGGUACUG